GCCAAACAGGCUCUAAAUCUUACAUUGACCUCGUGUAGAUAUAGAGACCAAAACAAGCUUAACUGUCAAAAGAUGAAGAUUCAGAUAUGUUGGAAUAGCAGGACUGCAAUGAGUCAUACUUUCCCAACAGUAAAUAUGAAAGAAAACUAGAUGAACAUUUGUGACAUAUUAGAUACACUUAUUGACAACUAUCAUAUCGAUUUACCUUAUAACUAGCUCAACCUUAGAAGAAGCUCUGGGUAAAUCACUCAAAUCUUUACUGGAUUUAGUUCCUAUCGGUUGUUCAAUGAAGAUCCUUAGCAAAGACGGUGCCUGAAAAAUGAAUAGCAUAGCAAAGGCCUGUACACAGUUUGGACUCGCGAAACCAUAGAAACUCACAUACUCUAGCUUGUUCAAUGGUAGUUGCAAGCAGUCAGGCGUCAUCAGACAUUUCACAAAUGCUUCAACAUUAUCAUCGGUACCUUUGACCCUAAUCUUAAGUUCACUCAAAUUGGGGGAACACUUGAUUAAUUGUAGAACGCAAGAACUAUGACCCAAUUUUCCAAAGUCAACAGAGAGGGACAGCUUCUGCAAGCAGUUGAGAAUAAAAGGAGGAGCACUUGAUAGAACUACGUCUGCACUCAAAAGCUCAAUGAAAAGUGAAUCCAACAGGAGUACCUCAAGUGCAGGCAAGCUAUCAAGAAGUUUCAUCAAUGUUGAUCUAUGAUCAUG
rnacentral:misc_RNA from 1 species